rnacentral:tRNA from 2 species
AAUGAAUUGGCAGAGUUUAUGUGUUAGAUUUAGAAUUUAUUAAGGUGUUUUAUAAACAUAUUCAUUA